AAUCGUAUCACGCAUUUACUCGAAUCACGUAUUUUAUAAGUGUAUGUGUGUGUGUGUAUGUGUGCAACAAAACGAUCGUAGCGUAAGUUUAAAGAAAGUAUUUAUUAGAAAUAGGUGAAUUGCUAGUACAAUUUCGCGUUCUAAUAACAAUCGGUUAUAUAUUGAAUCGUUGCUAAACUUAUAACAAAUUACGGGUGAGUAACCAAAUGCACCGUUUUUUUUUUUUUUUUUAAUAUAAUAACAAGGUAAAUAACAACGUAAGAUUUUUAUUGAAAGAAGAAUGAAAGCUGAAUAUAAUAGCCGCUACAAAAUCUGCCGAAAUAACGUUUAAUAUCCUAGUGAUGAAAGCGAUUCGUUACUUAUCUAUCCAUUCUCUGGUGUCCAACGAAUACCAAAGUGAAAAAUCGAACCGAUUAGCAAAGAGAUAUAAACCAAACUAAUUGUAUACUGUCCUAAUAACGUAACAAAUUGUCUAUGUUUUGAACUGUAUUUUUGCAAGUGCAAUAAAGUUAUGCUUGUACAAAAUACGAGUACCUACUGUGCUACUUUUACAGCGAUCCCCUUGGUACUCCUUGAAAACAGUCAUGAUUCACCGUUUUACUUCUUUUAUUAAAUGACAAGCAAACGAAUAUCACCUUGUUCACGUUAAUUAUACUUCAUACCGCAUACCACGAACUUCAAGAAAUAAUGUUGCGAUCUGUGAAUCAUUUGCCGCGAUUUAUCGCAAGGAGUAAUCGAUUUCCUUCGCAAAUCCAGCAUUUGAAGCAGGAAAGUGGUCGGUAUUUUCACGUAAACUUCAGUCCAGGUCAGGAAAAAGUGAAAUGUGGUACAGACACGAAUAAUUAUCCCGUGAUAGAUCAUUGUUACGAUGUUGUGGUUGUAGGCGCGGGUGGUGCAGGAUUGAGAGCCGCCUUCGGUUUAGGAAGUAAAGGAUACAGAGUGGCAGUGGUUACAAAAUUAUUUCCAACGAGAUCUCAUACCGUGGCCGCUCAGGGAGGAAUAAAUGCCGUCCUUAACAACGACAAGGAUGAUAAUUGGCUUUAUCACAUGUACGAUACCGUUAAAGGAUCCGACUGGUUAGGAGAUCAGGAUGCGAUACAUUUUCUAGCGAGAGAGGCACCACGGGCCGUCUACGAGCUUGAAAAUUACGGCUGUCCUUUCAGUCGUACGGAAGAUGGAAAAAUUUAUCAGCGUGCAUUCGGUGGUCAGUCGUUAAAAUUUGGAAAGGGUGGCCAAGCCCGUAGAACUUGCGCCGCUGCGGACAGAACCGGCCACGCAAUACUGCACACUUUAUACGGACAAAGUUUACGUUACGACGUGCAUUAUUAUGUGGAAUAUUUUGCUCUUGAUCUACUUAUGGUCGGACGAUGCUGCAAAGGCGUAAUGGCGUGGGAAUUAGAAUCCGGGCUUUUGCAUCGGUUCAGGGCUCAUCAUACGGUGUUAGCAACAGGAGGAGCGGGAAGAUGUUACUUCUCUUGUACCGCGGCUCAUACAUGCACUGGAGAUGGCCUUGCGAUAGCCUCCAGAGCAGGGUUGCCCCUUGAAGAUAUGGAGUUUAUCCAAUUCCAUCCAACCGGGAUAUAUGGAAGCGGCAUUUUGAUAACGGAGGGCGUCCGAGGGGAAGGUGGAAAGUUGGUAAAUGCUGAAGGAGAAUUCUUCAUGGAACGAUAUGCUCCGAACGCGAAAGAUCUCGCAUCUCGUGAUAUCGUCUCCAGGGCGAUAAUGAUGGAAGUAUUGGAAGGAAGAGGUGUAGGUUUCAAGAAGGAUCAUGUGUACCUGCAAUUGCAUCAUUUACCAUUAGAAACGAUACGAACACGAUUACCAGGAAUUUCACAUUUAUCUUGGGUGUUCAGCGGCGUGAAUGUGGAAAAAGAGCCGAUACCAGUUAUUCCUACGGUACAUUACAACAUGGGUGGUAUACCCACAAAUUGGAAAGCGCAGGUUCUGUCGCGCGAGAACGAGGAGGAUACCAUUAUCGAUGGACUUUGGGCAGCAGGUGAAACUGCAUGUGUAUCCAUCCAUGGCGCCAAUCGAUUAGGCGCCAACAGCCUUCUAGAAUUGGUCGUUUUUGGCAAAGCAAUUGCCGAUCAAAUUGACUGUUUAACGAGACCUGGUGAACGUCACGAGGAUUUAUCAACCUUGAUUGGCGAGGACACUAUUUGCCGUUUCGACGCAACACGUCAUGCAAAAGGUUGUGUUCCUAUAGUCGAACUACGGGAAGAAAUGCAGCAAACUAUGCAGAAAUAUUGUUCAGUAUUUAGAACCUGCGAUACAUUACAACGAGCAUGUCGUGAGAUGACGCGACUUUAUACCUGCGAUUUGCCGGAUCUAUGUGUAGGUUCAAGAUCAAUCACUAAUAUGGAACACAGAACUGGUAGAAGCUAUAGAAUUACAAAAUAUGAUGUUAUCUUGCAUGCACAUCGUUUACGCAGCAGAAAACAGAAAAGAAUCUCGAGGAUCACAUGCCCGUGAAGAUUUCAAAGAACGAAUUGACGAGUAUGAUUAUGCGAAACCGCUCGAAGGUCAAAAGAAGCGGUCGUAUAAAGAACAUUGGCGCAAACACACACUUACAUGGGCUCGACCAGAUGGUUCAAUCAGCAUUUCUUAUCGUCCCGUUAUCGAUACGACACUGGACGAAUCAGAAGCCCGACACGUUCCACCAACAAUUCGAAUAUAUUAAAUACGGUUAUGAAACUGGUAGAUUUUUUCCAAUCUUUUUCCUCGUUUUUUUCGUCUGGUUCUAUUCUAUUUUUUAAAUUAACGCAUUAUCAAUAGCUAACAUUGUUCAUGUUAGUGUAGCUGAUAAUUUAAAUAUGAGCUCAAUUCUUUAUCUUGAAAUUACAACGACGAACAUACAUAUUUCGUUGUUUGUAGAAGGUUCGUGAAUUCCAUAUAAAUUUUGUUCAUCGCAUGCAAACAAUGUUAAUUAAUUCUAAACAGAAGUGGGGAUUUAUCCUUUUUAUUUACAUAUUAAAUAGUCAACCAAUCGUCAAUAACAAACGGAAUUAUACAUAUAUGUUCUUCAAUUAUACAUAUAUGCUUCCGAAUGAAAGUCAUUUUUUCCUGCUGUUUAUGAUUACUUUCGAAUAUUAUAGUAUAAUUAAAAAUUAGCACUUGUUUUAAAUAUUUUCAACAAGGUGAAAAUGAUUAUUUGGAAAUUUUACAUCGAUUUGCUAUAUUUCGUAAGAUCGAAUCAUUGAUGAAUAAUUGACGUGCAUAAAACGUGCAUGACGUUAUUACAUUCUAUAUUAUUUAAUUACAUUCGAUGUAUAUGAUAAAUGCAACGAAGUUAUAUAAUUAAAAAUAUAUAUAAUAUAAUUUUACGAUCUCAUUGUAUCGGAUAUAAAAUAUAACAAUUUCAAAUAUAUUAAUC
rnacentral:misc_RNA from 1 species